rnacentral:tRNA from 1 species
GGGGUGGUAGCUCAAUUGGUUAGAGCCCUGCACUGUCACUGCAGAGGUUGCGGGUUCGAGUCCCGUCCAUCCCG